UGCACUCACAGAAAACCUCUGUCUAUCUUGUAUAACGGUUACUUAGUACAGUGCAGUGAAAAGAGGGAGGACACAGUUCGUAGUGAUCUGGACGCCAUGACAGUGCGUAUAUACUCGUGCUGAAACUAAGGUACAACAAACUUAGCGCCACUUCUAAGCACGUACAUGUCUAGAGAGAACAAAAAUCUUGGUCAUGGAUCUCAAGGAGACUGAAGCCAGCAAUGACUGUGCUGGCGAAGGCUAGCAGGAAUUUAACCAUCCGAUCGAUCAGCCUUUAAAGAGUUCGAAGUAUAAAUAUAGUGAUUACAAAUAAACUCGGUAUAUUGAAUUUAAAUAAGAGAAUUCAAAAUAAUGGACUUAAUUUCAUUCAUCAUGUUGAAAGAACUGAACCUGAACUCAUUCCAAAACAGUUAAUGGACCAUACACGCAGAGGAACAAGAUCCACUGGACUCCCGAAGUUGAGCUGCAAGGAUCAAUCUAUGUUACAGUUGAAGAGAGUGGAUCCAAAGUUUCAGACUAUGAUGCUGAUGACGACCAAGCUGAUGAUACUUCAGCAUUUGUAUAGGGUUCGGUGUUUCUGUGGUGAAGAUGCAUGUUGUGGUCUUCUUAGUUACGUCAUCGUGUAAUCUCUGUAGGUCGGUACCAACGCUUCGGAAAAAAAAUAUAUUUCCUCCCUUUUCAGGAGGGUACUUCUACCAGAACGGAGGCUGAAGUUUGUUCCUCCGGCACGAUGUUCCCACUCACCAUAUUUCCUCCAUUUUGAGGGCUGAAGUGACUCCUACUCUGAAGAUGUGGGCAGUCUGAUAAGACUACAAUAUCAGUUUUAAUGUUCAGUUUAGAGAGUUUUAAGACAGACUCUUAUUUUGUGUGACACGUGGAGUCAUACAAACCGGUGCGACAUGAUUUCAACAUGUAGCUUGAUUGCAAUAAAUAUUUAAGGCAUGUAUGAAGUUUGUUUUGACGGAGCAGUGUUUUCUUGAGCUUGUUCCAAUUAAUGGAACUCAAUAAUGGAUCAAUGUUGCAAACCCAAGAUAAAAUGGCUGCUCCUUGGCAACGCUGUGACAGUCGCCGACAUUUUGUGCUUUUGGACUAAUAUCACAGUACAAAGAUGAUUGUAAUGUGCGUGCGCGCGUGUGUGUGUGAGCUUUCACAUUUCUAUUUAACUUAAUUUGCUGACAAAAUGUGGUUGCGAUUUCAUUGUAUGUGCAUUAAGUAAGUCUCAAUUAUUGCAGUGUUUUUGCACUAAUCCAUAUAAACAUAGAAACGGCGUUCUCAGUCAAGAUGAAAUUAAAAGUUUGGAAAUUCUUGACUACCUGAGCAACAGUUGGCUUCUCUAAAUGGGUUGCGCACCAUGGAGUGAGUACCUCACUUUGCACGUCCAUGUUUUAUUGGGGCCGCAUUCAAACCCAUACCAAAUCGCAUUCCACGUGUAUGCUUCGGGUUGUACGUGGUAUGAGUGGCUGCGGCGGCUGCAGUAGGGGAGUCCUAGUGGGCCUGCACGAUGGGCGAUCCGCGAUUGGUUGAUGCUAAGGAGAGUCGCAAGCCCAGACGGCGCAGACAAGAGUUGCUCGAGAUGUGAAUAGAUAGAGAGUAUACGUCAUCGCAGUUGGUGUUUGGUGUUUUUGAGGUCUUGUUAGCCGAAGUUAAGAUCGUAAUGGAUUCGUCACUGGCAAGAGAUGUAUUGUCCAGACACAAGCCACCCUCGUGGAGCAAUAAGGUGCCUCGUAGGGAAGUGCUUCAAGAAUUGACGAAUUACAGCCCAGAAUUUAUUUCUGCUAAGAAUAAAAUAAAACCGAUUGUCAGACAUGUAGAUGUGUGUAAUGUGUUCAGGGUUGAGAACCCAUAUCUUUUUGGCUCUUACCUGCUCAAGAAAGAAGAGUAUAUAAAGCGGUAUGGGAGUUGCAGAGAGCUGGAACUAUUCCAUGCCACCGACAUUGCUAAUGUACUGUCUAUAACCACGGAUAAUCUGGAUUGGCGUCGAAGUGUACGCACGAAGUUUGGAGGGGGCGUCAGUUUUUCUCCAUGUCCAAAUUACGCAAACACCUACUGCAAUCGAAGCUGUAGUUCAUCCAUACGUGCCAUGAUUAUUGCGCAGGUACUGGUUUGCAGAACUUGUGCUGGGUAUGGCGGAAUGGAAUUACCCCCACGUACUGCAGAUACGAGCACAGGCAACGGUGGAAAAGUCUAUGUUAAAUACAAUGACAAUGAGUUUUACCCACAAUAUGUGGCAUAUUAUAGGGGGAACUGUCUGUAGACUCCGUUUGGAUAACUUUUUAAUGCGGCGCUUUCCAAUUUUCCACUGUUUUGAAAAAAGAAAGGGGGAGGAGGAAUAUUCCAGUUUUGAAAAAAGAAGGGGGGGGGGAAGUGUGGGUAUAAAUCAGUCAAACUUUGUUACUUUGUAGCCGGUAGUUAUUUUCCAGCUCACUCUGAGAAUUGUUUGGACGCACACACUCAUAUACGAGCAUGUAAACACUAUAUAAAUAUACUCCUAUAUGUAUAUAAAUAAAUAUAAAGGUUCUGUGCUUAAGUAAUGAAGCACUACACAACAAAGGUUUGCAUGACCUCUGCAUUAGUUUUAAGUGAGUGGGUAGUUCUAACGCCCAGGCCGAUUUUCAACAGGGGAAGGAGCCCGUGGUACCCAUUGGAUAGAAUAAUUAUGUUUGUAGAAUGAUGUUCUCUCUCUCUAGUGAAUAUUAGUUUGACAAGAGUUUAAGAGGUAUAAAACGUUUGUUAGGAUUGCGAAAAAGAUUUGGAAGAUGUUGAAAUAGUUUUCUACUGUUGGGUGACAUUACAAGAAAGCUCCAACCUCAAUUUUCAGAUAUACGAUACCUAUCCAGUUUGAUUCAAAUGCCUGGAUGUGGUAACUUUGUAUUUUUCAUUUGAACAUACUUAACCUAUUAAGUGUGGAUCACAGUAUUGUGUGUAGAAAUAUUUUUAGGAAAUAGAGCUUAAAAAAUUAACCACUAUUUGACUGAGAAGUAUUUAAAUUGUUGUGUGGGUUGUUAUGCCAUGUAGUUAGCAGACAUGUACCCACCUACCACACUGCACAUCAUCUCAUCAUGUAAUCUUGUAUUAAUAUUCCUGCCACAACCUGCAUGUUUUUAUAUAUAGUAUAAUGACAAUACAUAAAUUCCAAUUGGCGAGUCAUUUCAGAAAUAGUAUCUACAAAAUAUUCACAGUAACUUUCGGAUUUGGAUGUGGUGUAUAACCUGUUUAUUUUAGUAACACAUUGCCUCAUGUUUGAAAUGACUGAUCUUGAUUUUAGUAACACACACACACACACACACACACAUAUAUAUAUAUAUAUAUAUAGUUGCUUUAUGUCGUGAAUUUUCACUUUGAUAUUGCCUUCUUUGUGUUUGAUAUGUCUGAUUUUGAUACAUGUCUAAUGUGACUGUGUACCUGAAAUGAGACUUAUGCAUACAAAUACAAAUAAAUAAAUAAAUCUAUCUGUGUGUAUUGAUAUGUCUGAUUUUGAUACAUGUCUAAUGUGGCUGUAUACUUGAAUGAGACUUGUGCGUACAAAUACAAAGAAAUAAAUAAAUCAGUGUGUAUUGAUAUGUCUGAUCUUGAUACAUGUCUAAUGUGACUGUGUACCUGAAAUGAGACUUAUGCAUACAAAUACAAAUAAAUAAAUAAAUAAAUCUAUCUGUGUGUAUUGAUAUGUCUGAUUUUGAUACAUGUCUAAUGUGGCUGUAUACUUGAAUGAGACUUGUGCGUACAAAUACAAAGAAAUAAAUAAAUCAGUGUGUAUUGAUAUGUCUGAUCUUGAUACAUGUCUAAUGUGACUGUGUACCUGAAAUGAGACUUAUGCAUACAAAUACAAAUAAAUAAAUAAAUAAAUCUA